rnacentral:rRNA from 1 species
GACGAACGCUGGCGGCGUGCUUAACACAUGCAAGUCGAGCGGUAAGGCCCUUUCGGGGGUACACGAGCGGCGAACGGGUGAGUAACACGUGGGUGACCUGCCCUCAGCUCUGGGAUAAGCCUGGGAAACCGGGUCUAAUACUGGAUAUGACUCCAUGACGCAUGUUGUGGGGUGGAAAGCCUUGUGCGGCUGAGGAUGGGCCCGCGGCCUAUCAGCUUGUUGGUGGGGGAUGGCCUACCAAGGCGACGACGGGUAGCCGGCCUGAGAGGGCGACCGGCCACACUGGGACUGAGACACGGCCCAGACUCCUACGGGAGGCAGCAGUGGGAAUCUUGCGCAAUGGGCGAAAGCCUGACGCAGCGACGCCGCGUGAGGGAUGACGGCCUGGUGU